rnacentral:rRNA from 1 species
CGGUGGAGCAUGUGGUUUAAGUUUCGAAGCAACGACGAAGAACCUUACCAGGCCUGACAUGCAGGAGAACUUUCCAGAGAUGGAUUGGUGCCUUCGGGAACUCUGACACAGGUGCUGCAUGGCUGUCGUCAGCUCGUGUCGUGAGAUGUUGGGUUAAGUCCCGUAAACGAGCGCAACCCCUAUUGCUAGUUACCAUCAUUAAGUUGGGGACUCUAGCGAGACUGCCAGUGAUAAACUGGAGGAAGGUGGGGAUGACGUCAAAUCAUCAUGCCCCUUAUGACCUGGGCUACAAACGUGAUACAAUGGCUGGAACAAAGGGAUGCGAAGCAGUGAUGUGGAGCGAAACCCAUAAAAACAGUCUCAGUUCGGAUUGAAGUCUGCAACUCGACUUCAUGAAGUCGGAAUCGCUAGUAAUCGCGGAUCAGAACGCCGCGGUGAAUACGUUCUCGGGGUUU